AACACAGCCGUGAAGCGACCAGGAGUCUAUAGCUCUGGUGUAAGACUAACAAAAAAGUGGGAAAGACUUUCAUUCUCCUUUGUUAGAGUAGGCCUACGGCAGUGUAUGGCACCUUCAUCACACAUGGGAGGCAUUCAAGGCACUGACGUGAAAGGUAGCACGAUUUUGCGCGCGCCUUAUAACCCCUCAUUGGUGAAAAGGGAUGGUCACAUGACAUUCGACAAUGCUUAUUGGGCAUAACGCCGUGCUUUUUCGCUUUGUCACUUAACGAACCCCUGACGACACUCAAUUCCAUAAGCCAGAGAAGAAUCGUCUGAAUCGAUGUUCCUGCUUGCCGGUAGGGGUCAGGUCGUCCGCCAGUGGAAGGUUCUUUACUUGGGUGUAUUAACGACUGUGUCAGUACCCGUACAGCUACAAGAGAGAGUUCUGCUCGUGACAUCAGGGACAAAGUCGACUUGGGAGUAAGGGCAAGGCCAGGGUGUAGAGAAGCCUCUGCUGGAUCUGUCAACAUCAUAAUUUUCUAUAGCCCUUCUCCGUGUGCCGUGAAUUAUUUCUUAAUUUUACUUUAAAGUUCAGGUGGAUUUAAAAAAAAAAUUGUGUGACCCCCUUUUCCUUAUGAAUGAAGGCCACUACACUGACAACAGUCAUGGCAUGGUAGAACCAUUUAUAUGGAAAGGGGUUCCAUAGAGAAAGUGACUGACGCGUACCCUCUCCUGUUUGCGAGGUUCCCACCAGUUUCGGCACUUUUUUUCGGCCCAGCAGUUCCGUCGAGUUCGGCACCACUUUUUUCAGUUUCAGCACUGUAUUUGUCUGUUUCGGCACCGCUGCCAUAUUGACAGCUUGCUUUGGCCUCAUAAUGUUUGUUCAGUUUUCAUGCAGCAAGUAUUCUCACAUUUUAAAAUUAGUACAAUAUUUUAAAAUUGACUGGUCAGCGGCAUGGCCAUUUUACUUUCACGAUUUGAUUUUCUUUGUUUGCUUUAACUUGGAAAUAUUUAUUUUUAAGUACUGGCGAUUAAAGCCAAAGAAUUGCUUAUUUCAAGUUGGUUUUAGAAUUGCUUAAUUUGUUUGUAAAAACGUUCAUUUUGCGUGAAAUAUAUUUUUUAUGAAUUUUAUAAAAACUUGGCAGAAGAGGGCAAUGGGAAUACAGAGAACACCGGAACGAUGGCCCUGCUUGGCGGUCUUCUUACUCAUACAAGAUGAUUUGGUCACCAACAGUGCUGAGGCUUGAAGGUUGCUUAAUUAGUUAAAUAAGCCAAACUCCCAGUACCAGUCCCGCGGGUGAACGCUCACACGCCGCACCUUGUCACCCACGGGACCAAAGGGGAAAGAACUAGUCAAAGAUUUAACACAACACAAAACGGUUAGGUUCAACAAUAAGAAAAGGAUCACACAAA